AGUCGAGCGAGACCAGUCCUUCGGGACUGGGGACAGCGGCGAACGGGUGAGUAUCACGUGGGUAAUCUGCCCUCGGCACUGGGAUAGCCCGGGGAAACCCAGAUUAAUACCGGAUAGCCUCUCGAGCCUUCGGGCUCGUCAGAAAAGGUGGCUUCGGCUUCCGGCUGAGGAUGAGCCCGCGGCGGAUUAGCUUGUUGGUGGGGUAAUGGCCCACCAAGGCGACGAUCCGUAGCUGGUCUGAGAGGACGAUCAGCCACACUGGGACUGAGACACGGCCCAGACUCCUACGGGAGGCAGCAGUGGGGAAUCUUGCGCAAUGGGCGAAAGCCUGACGCAGCGACGCCGCGUGCGGGAAGAAGGCCUUCGGGUUGUAAACCGCUUUCAGGAGGGACGAAGCCACUCGGGUUAAUAGCCCAGAGGGUGACGGUACCUCCAGAAGAAGCCCCGGCUAACUACGUGCCAGCAGCCGCGGUAAUACGUAGGGGGCAAGCGUUGUCCGGAUUUAUUGGGCGUAAAGAGCGUGUAGGCGGCCAGGUAGGUCAGCUGUGAAAACUCGAGGCUCAACCUCGAGAUGUCGGCUGAAACCAUCUGGCUAGAGUCCGGAAGAGGAGAAUGGAAUUCCCGGUGUAGCGGUGAAAUGCGCAGAUAUCGGGAAGAACACCCGUGGCGAAGGCGGUUCUCUGGGACGGUACUGACGCUGAGACGCGAAAGCGUGGGGAGCGAACAGGAUUAGAUACCCUGGUAGUCCACGCCGUAAACGAUGGGAACUAGGUGUGGGCGGUGUCGACUCCGUCCGU
rnacentral:rRNA from 1 species